UUACAGAUGUUUUUGCGGGGCCAAGUGGAUGAAGAAAUCUUUUCAUUCUGUGUUCGGUCCGGUUUUCUGACUACGACUGUGUCCGGGCAGGUUGAAGCGCAGUAACACAGGCGGUCACAUGAUCAGGUUAAUUA